rnacentral:lncRNA from 1 species
CAGGUAUCAGAGUAUUGUAGGGGAGGAAAAAUGUUUUUUCCUUCUACCCUUCUAGGUUCUCCGGCCCUGUAAGUUGGAUUGAUGAAACACAGAUUCACAGGAGACCAACAGAAGUUCAUUAGCAUGUGCAUUGUGCAUUCACAUGGUACCCAGUGAUGAGCCACUUGGAGGCUGGUGAAAACUCUGUCCGGCUCGGGCCUGGUGCUCGCAUCAGCACUUCAAGGCCACCGAAUUAGUGUUUGAAGACCAGAUGAUCUGAUUAGAUUAUGUGGUUUGUAGAAAAUUAAAUUCUUUGGCCAAACCAGAUGCUAAGCUUCUGUCCAGAAUUGAUAUGCUAUUAGAAGGCCUGGAAACUAAUAAACGUACCAUAACUAUUAAUUUAUAGAUAGGUUGUUGGCAAAUAACCUCAGAGAGAGGAUCCAGGCUUGAAACAGCUUUUGUGACACCAGAUGGAGUGUGUGAGUUUAAUCAGAGUCCUGGGAAGGGAUCUGUACAGUGUAUUAAAAAACUCCACUGUCAUCUAUGAGUGAAGUCUGACAUAUACUGAGAAAAGUAUAGGAAAGUAGAACCUAACUGAAGCCGAUUCAAGAAACGAUGACUCAUGCAAGGAUCUAGAUGUUCUUUUAGGAUGAAGUGUGUUGGUAUGAAGCAGGGACAAUUCACCUAUCCAGAAUCUGGUGACCUGGCAGUUUUACCUGAGGACAAAGAGGCCAGAAGCUACCCAGCCAACCAAGCAAAUGUCCCACACUUCGAGUGGCCGAGCUGAACCUCUCAAGAACACCCCAAGUCCAGAAGGCUCACUUAUGUCCCCAAUGUCUCAAACCAGCAGUCCCUAAAGC